GAUGGUGUGGUCUGAGUUGGUUUGACGGUCCGUGCAGUUUCACAAUUCCAUUCGGUGUUUUCAAUGUCUGGAGGAAGCUUCAUCACCACCGUCCCUUGCUUCUUUCCGUCUUCCACCGCCGGCACCAGCGUGAUGUUCACCGGCCAUGCUGCAACGACAUCCGUUGGCUCACCAUUUUACUGCUAUCCCCUUGCUCACUGUCCAUGCCAGCCUUCCAUGGUAGAAUCAUUAUGGAUGGGAGUCCAUGCCAACCUUCCAUGGUAGAGUCAUUAUGGAUGGGAAGUGGCGAAGGGCUGAGCAUCAACGUGGAUGCCUCACGACUCUUGGUGACUAUUGUCUUUGUCCCUUGCUCUUGGUCCAACUUCCUUUAGCCACAAGGGGUGUCGAUUGUCGAGUGAGCAGCAACAGCAAAUGAAGCAGACUGCGUGUAGUUACUUAUGUUCUUUGCUCAAUUUUUCGCGGGAUUUCACUUCCUUCUUGUUUUCCAAAUUAUGUAAAUCCUACUAAUUAUAGUCCCUUAUGUAGAUAUAUUUUAUCAUGCCAUUGUUAAUUAUCUAUUCACACUGAUUUGAAUCUUUUGUUGUGUUCUCUGUAGGUAUCUAUGUAGAUUGUUCUUUGCAGCUUUGUCAUUUUCCUCUCUCUUCAUAUUCAGGUUGUAGCAAUUGAUAUGCAGUCUAGCCUGGAGUCUGGAUUUUGUACAGGUAUACUGUCCAUCCUGGUUCUGGUGAUUUGAUUUGGGAAACUCUUGAAGUUUGAUUCUCAUAUAUUGGUCCUGAGAAUUAUUCACCUGGCAUUCUGCAAUUGCUUCCAGCCAGUAUCUGGCUUGGUGGGUACAUCAGACCAUAAUAAUAUCAAUUUGCAUGCUUUGCCACCCUUCUCCAUGGUUUACCUGGUUAAUAUGAUAUUGCCCAUUACUUUUUGAGAUUCUAUGAAUUCGCAUGGAGAGUGGCUUCAGCACCAGGUCAACAGUUGCCUAGCCUCAGCAUCUGCCUCUUCUCCCCUCGCCGUCAGAGGAUGCCGCACAGCAGCACAGAGUGUAUUGGCGUUUGGAUUUCUACAAUCUGGAGAAGUCCAUACAUUUGGGUAUGCAAGAUCAAGCACUUCUGAUCAGCUUUGUAGUCUUCUCAGGUUGGCACAUAUUUUUCAGUUGGAAGUAUAAUACGUGCCAGUAUUGGUUAAAUUGUAAUGUAUCUGGUACCGUACCUAAAUGUUUGUAGUUGGAUUCAACAAUCUACAUGAUCUGGUCCGUCGAAUAGACCAAAGUUUUGCACAACCGUACCUAUCGCUUUCUAUGGAUUCUAAUGGCAGCACUCGGUUUUCUAAUGGUUAUCAUAUUGCUGAUCGUGCCAGUGAGGAAGGGUACUUUGGUGCUGUGUAAGCAUGUUUGCUAAAGCAUGUAUAUAUUGUGGAAAUUUAAAGCCUCUUCAUUUUCUUAGCCUAGGUGCUGACGUGAGUUGAUGAUUUUGUUUUGAGGAUGAUGCGGAGACCGACGAAGUGUACACGCAAAUGACGCUGCAUGUGUAUCUAGACGAAGUGGAGUCAACCAAUAUGGGUCGGAGGUAGUAUUAAAUUUUGUAGAAAGAUUGACACUGAGUAGACACUUCAAGUAAA